rnacentral:rRNA from 1 species
UCCUGACUGACCGAUAGUGAACCAGUACCGUGAGGGAAAGGCGAAAAGAACCCCGGCGAGGGGAGUGAAAAAGAACCUGAAACCGUGUACGUACAAGCAGUGGGAGCACGCUUAGGCGUGUGACUGCGUACCUUUUGUAUAAUGGGUCAGCGACUUAUAUUCUGUAGCAAGGUUAACCGAAUAGGGGAGCCGAAGGGAAACCGAGUCUUAACUGGGCGUUAAGUUGCAGGGUAUAGACCCGAAACCCGGUGAUCUAGCCAUGGGCAGGUUGAAGGUUGGGUAACACUAACUGGAGGACCGAACCGACUAAUGUUGAAAAAUUAGCGGAUGACUUGUGGCUGGGGGUGAAAGGCCAAUCAAACCGGGAGAUAGCUGGUUCUCCCCGAAAGCUAUUUAGGUAGCGCCUCGUGAAUUCAUCUCCGGGGGUAGAGCACUGUUUCGGCAAGGGGGUCAUCCCGACUUACCAACCCGAUGCAAACUGCGAAUACCGGAGAAUGUUAUCACGGGAGACACACGGCGGGUGCUAACGUCCGUCGUGAAGAGGGAAACAACCCAGACCGCCAGCUAAGGUCCCAAAGUCAUGGUUAAGUGGGAAACGAUGUGGGAAGGCCCAGACAGCCAGGAUGUUGGCUUAGAAGCAGCCAUCAUUUAAAGAAAGCGUAAUAGCUCACUGGUCGAGUCGGCCUGCGCGGAAGAUGUAACGGGGCUAAACCAUGCACCGAAGCUGCGGCAGCGACGCUUAUGCGUUGUUGGGUAGGGGAGCGUUCUGUAAGCCUGCGAAGGUGUGCUGUGAGGCAUGCUGGAGGUAUCAGAAGUGCGAAUGCUGACAUAAGUAACGAUAAAGCGGGUGAAAAGCCCGCUCGCCGGAAGACCAAGGGUUCCUGUCCAACGUUAAUCGGGGCAGGGUGAGUCGACCCCUAAGGCGAGGCCGAAAGGCGUAGUCGAUGGGAAACAGGUUAAUAUUCCUGUACUUGGUGUUACUGCGAAGGGGGGACGGAGAAGGCUAUGUUGGCCGGGCGACGGUUGUCCCGGUUUAAGCGUGUAGGCUGGUUUUCCAGGCAAAUCCGGAAAAUCAAGGCUGAGGCGUGAUGACGAGGCACUACGGUGCUGAAGCAACAAAUGCCCUGCUUCCAGGAAAAGCCUCUAAGCAUCAGGUAACAUCAAAUCGUACCCCAAACCGACACAGGUGGUCAGGUAGAGAAUACCAAGGCGCUUGAGAGAACUCGGGUGAAGGAACUAGGCAAAAUGGUGCCGUAACUUCGGGAGAAGGCACGCUGAUAUGUAGGUGAAGUCCCUUGCGGAUGGAGCUGAAAUCAGUCGAAGAUACCAGCUGGCUGCAACUGUUUAUUAAAAACACAGCACUGUGCAAACACGAAAGUGGACGUAUACGGUGUGACGCCUGCCCGGUGCCGGAAGGUUAAUUGAUGGGGUCAGCGCAAGCGAAGCUCUUGAUCGAAGCCCCGGUAAACGGCGGCCGUAACUAUAACGGUCCUAAGGUAGCGAAAUUCCUUGUCGGGUAAGUUCCGACCUGCACGAAUGGCGUAAUGAUGGCCAGGCUGUCUCCACCCGAGACUCAGUGAAAUUGAACUCGCUGUGAAGAUGCAGUGUACCCGCGGCAAGACGGAAAGACCCCGUGAACCUUUACUAUAGCUUGACACUGAACAUUGAGCCUUGAUGUGUAGGAUAGGUGGGAGGCUUUGAAGUGUGGACGCCAGUCUGCAUGGAGUCGACCUUGAAAUACCACCCUUUAAUGUUUGAUGUUCUAACGUGGACCCGUGAUCCGGGUUGCGGACAGUGUCUGGUGGGUAGUUUGACUGGGGCGGUCUCCUCCUAAAGAGUAACGGAGGAGCACGAAGGUUGGCUAAUCCUGGUCGGACAUCAGGAGGUUAGUGCAAUGGCAUAAGCCAGCUUGACUGCGAGCGUGACGGCGCGAGCAGGUGCGAAAGCAGGUCAUAGUGAUCCGGUGGUUCUGAAUGGAAGGGCCAUCGCUCAACGGAUAAAAGGUACUCCGGGGAUAACAGGCUGAUACCGCCCAAGAGUUCAUAUCGACGGCGGUGUUUGGCACCUCGAUGUCGGCUCAUCACAUCCUGGGGCUGAAGUAGGUCCCAAGGGUAUGGCUGUUCGCCAUUUAAAGUGGUACGCGAGCUGGGUUUAGAACGUCGUGAGACAGUUCGGUCCCUAUCUGCCGUGGGCGCUGGAGAACUGAGGGGGGCUGCUCCUAGUACGAGAGGACCGGAGUGGACGCAUCACUGGUGUUCGGGUUGUCAUGCCAAUGGCACUGCCCGGUAGCUAAAUGCGGAAGAGAUAAGUGCUGAAAGCAUCUAAGCACGAAACUUGCCCCGAGAUGAGUUCUCCCUGACCCUUUAAGGGUCCUGAAGGAACGUUGAAGACGACGACG